rnacentral:rRNA from 1 species
GUGGGGAAUCUUGCGCAAUGGGCGAAAGCCUGACGCAGCAACGCCGCGUGGAGGAUGAAGGUCCUUGGAUUGUAAACUCCUGUCGAGCGGGAAGAAUGGCUCGGGUGCUAAUACCAUCCGGGUUUGACUGUACCGCGAGAGGAAGCCCCGGCUAACUCUGUGCCAGCAGCCGCGGUAAUACAGAGGGGGCGAGCGUUAUUCGGAAUUAUUGGGCGUAAAGGGCGCGUAGGCGGCCCGGUAAGUCGAAGGUGAAAUCCCCGAGCUCAACUUGGGAACUGCCUUCGAUACUGCCAGGCUUGAGUCCGGGAGGGGAGAGUGGAAUUCCCAGUGUAGCGGUGAAAUGCGUAGAUAUUGGGAGGAACACCGGUGGCGAAGGCGGCUCUCUGGACCGGUUCUGACGCUGAGGCGCGAAAGCGUGGGUAGCAAACAGGAUUAGAUACCCCGGUAGUCC